rnacentral:rRNA from 1 species
AAGGCAGCUUGCCANGACCAUAUCUGACACUGAAGCACGAAAGCCGUGGGUAUCGAACAGGAUUAGAUACCCUGGUAGUCCCACGCAGUAAACGAUGAUUACUGGGAGUUUGUCCGAUUUAUAGGAUAAGCUUCUGAGCGAAAGUAUUAAGUAAUCCACCUGGGGAGUACGUCGGCAACGAUGAAACUCAAAGGAAUUGACGGGGGCCCGCACAAGCGGAGGAACAUGUGGUUUAAUUCGAUGAUACGCGAGGAACCUUACCCGGGAUUGAAAUGUAGGCGACGUAUUUGGAGACAGAUAUUUCCUUCGGGACGCCUAUGUAGGUGCUGCAUGGUUGUCGUCAGCUCGUGCCGUGAGGUGUCGGCUUAAGUGCCAUAACGAGCGCAACCCACAUCAUUAGUUACUAACAGGUUAAGCUGAGGACUCUAAUGAGACUGCCGGCGUAAGCCGCGAGGAAGGUGUGGAUGACGUCAAAUCAGCACGGCCCUUACAUCCGGGGCGACACACGUGUUACAAUGGUAAGGACAGAGGGCAGCUACCUGGCGACAGGAUGCAAAUCUCGAAACCUUAUCCCAGUUCGGAUUGGAGUCUGCAACUCGACUCUAUGAAGCUGGAUUCGCUAGUAAUCGCGCAUCAGCCAUGGCGCGGUGAAUACGUUCCCGGGCCUUGUACACACCGCCCGUCAAGCCAUGGGAGUCGGGGGUACCUGAAGCACGUAACCGCGAGGGGCGUACUAGGGUAAUACCGGUGACUGGGGCUAAGUCGUAACAAGGUAGCCAUC